CAGAGGUGUCAAACGUUGUCCGGAAUUAUUGGGCGUAAAGGGCGCGUAGGCGGCCGGGUAAGUGAGAUGUGAAAGCUCUGGGCUCAACCCAGGAAUUACAUUUCAUACUGCUCGGCUCGAGAUUGGUAGAGGAUGGCGGAAUUCCAGGUGUAGCGGUGAAAUGCGUAGAUAUCUGGAGGAACACCUGUGGCGAAGGCGGCUAUCUGGUCCAAUUCUGACGCUGAGGCGCGAAAGGUAGGGGAGCAAACAGGAUUAGAUACCCUGGUAGUCCUACCCGUAAACGAUGAGUACUAGGUGUUGGAGGUAUUGACCCCUUCAGUGCCGUAGCUAACGCAAUAAGUACUCCGCCUGGGAACUACGGUCGCAAGACUG
rnacentral:rRNA from 1 species